UCCCUGUUGGCUUAGUGGUAAAGAAUCUGCCUGAAAUGCAGGAGACGUGGGUUCGAUUCCUGGGUUGAGAA
rfam:Ovis aries breed Texel chromosome 8, whole genome shotgun sequence.